UACGAAGGGGGCUAGCGUUGUUCGGAAUUACAGGGCGUAAAGGGCGCGUGGGCGGUCUUGUAAGUCAGAUGUGAAAGCCCCGGGCUCAACCCGGGAAUAGCAUUUGAUACUGCGAGGCUUGAGUCCGGGAGAGGAUGGCGGAAUUCCCAGUGUAGAGGUGAAAUUCGUAGAUAUUGGGAAGAACACCGGUGGCGAAGGCGGCCAUCUGGACCGGUACUGACGCUGAGGCGCGAAAGCGUGUGGAGCAAACAGG
rnacentral:rRNA from 1 species